rnacentral:rRNA from 1 species
CCCAGGAGCCACAAGUGGCAACCACCUUUAUUGGGCCUAAAGCGUCCGUAGCCUGUUCUGUAAAUUUUCUGUGAAAUCGUUGCGCUUAACGCAACGGCGUGCAGGAAACACUGCAGGACUAGGGACCGGGAGGAGUCAGGGGUAUUUCUGGGGGAGCGGUAAAAUGCUAUAAUCCCAGAAGGACCACCUGUGGCGAAGGCGCCUGACUAGAACGGAUCCGACGGUGAGGGACGAAAGCUAGGGGAGCAAUCCGG